AUGAAAGUAAAGCCUAGAGUAGUUGUAUUUUUUAUAAAUACAAUUUAUUAUAAUAUUUUAUCACACAUAUUACAACAUAAUUAUUGAAAUUUAAAAAGGUGGUCUUUGUGUAUGUGAAUGCACAUUCACAUCACAUCACAUCAAUCCAUAUCCAUAUUCAUAUUACAUACAAAUAGGAGUUCCAUAUGCUUUCAAAUGAUUACAAUUUUUUUAACAAACAUAUUACAACAUAAUUAUUGAAAUUUAAAAAGGUGGUCUUUGUGUAUGUGAAUGCACAUUCACAUCACAUCACAUCAAUCCAUAUCCAUAUUCAUAUUACAUACAAAUAGGAGUUCCAUAUGCUUUCAAAUGAUUACAAUUUUUUUAACAAACAUAUUACAACAUAAUUAUUGAAAUUCAGAAAAG
rnacentral:lncRNA from 1 species